UACGGAGGGUGCAAGCGUUAUCCGGAUUCACUGGGUUUAAAGGGUGCGUAGGCGGAUAGGUAAGUCAGUGGUGAAAUCUCCGAGCUUAACUCGGAAACUGCCGUUGAUACUAUUUGUCUUGAAUACUGUGGAGGUAAGCGGAAUAUGUCAUGUAGCGGUGAAAUGCUUAGAUAUGACAUAGAACACCAAUUGCGAAGGCAGCUACUACGCAGUUAUUGACGCUGAGGCACGAAAGCGUGGGGAUCAAACAGG
rnacentral:rRNA from 1 species